rnacentral:rRNA from 1 species
GACGAACGCUGGCGGCGUGCUUAACACAUGCAAGUCGAACGCUGAAGCUCAGCUUUUGUUGGGUGGAUGAGUGGCGAACGGGUGAGUAACACGUGAGUAACCUGCCUCCUUCUUUGGGAUAACGCCCGGAAACGGGUGCUAAUACUGGAUAUUCACUGGUCUUCGCAUGGGGGUUGGUGGAAAGGGUUUUUCUGGUGGGGGAUGGGCUCGCGGCCUAUCAGCUUGUUGGUGGGGUGAUGGCCUACCAAGGCUUUGACGGGUAGGCGGCCUGAGAGGGUGACCGGUCACAUUGGGACUGAGAUACGGCCCAGACUCCUACGGGAGGCAGCAGUGGGGAAUAUUGCACAAUGGGCGCAAGCCUGAUGCAGCGACGCCGCGUGAGGGAUGGAGGCCUUCGGGUUGUGAACCUCUUUCGCUCAUGGUCAAGCCGCAACAAUGGUUGUGGUGAGGGUAGUGGGUAAAGAAGCGCCGGCUAACUACGUG